AAAAAAAAAAAAAAAAAGAGAGAGAGAAAGAAAAAAAAAAUGUAGAGAGCAAAACAAUGCGGGGAGAUCUGGGCUGCAGGGCGCCCGGCGGGGCGGGCAGCUGCAGAGCGGCUCCGGGAGCGGCUGGCCGCUCCGCACGGGCACGGCAGGGACAGGGACAGGGCGGGGGGCACGGCUGCCCACAGCCCUGAGUGCCGCCGCAGGAGCCACGAGCUGCAAUAUUUUGCCAGUAGAGAGUUUUGUCUGAGAAGUGAAUUUUCUUAUACAGACCAUACCACCAGUCACAUCAGAGUUCCUGACAAUCAAAGGCAGAGGUGAAGUUGAAAAUACAAAGUCCUGAUCUUUCUGGACAGCAAAGACUCCUCUUCUUGCAUCACUAUGCCUAUGGCAGAUCAGGCUCUUUAUCUCCUCCUGAAACAUGGGAACUGGAGCCUCUCUGCUAUCCUGCACUUCUCCCCACCUGGGGCUCUUCAGCAACACCAGUAGCAGGCGUUUCUUCCCUGCUAAAUGGUCAACACCUUCAGUCCAUUAAUGAGGGAUACCACUUGGUCACCUCAAAGCUCACAUCACUGCAGUGUGAGCAGAGCUGGCAGAAUUCUGAACCCAGACUGGAAGGUAUGUCCCUUCAGGUGAAGACAGCCAUGAAGCACACACACCCUGCAGAAUGACCAUGAUAUGGACUUCAGUUCUUCAGACAGGCAUCAUAAGAAGAAAGAAGAAACAGUGAUGAAUUCACCCUGUGUAUUAAGGACCUCUACCACCUCCUCCCAUUAACCGCCACCUUACAUCCUCAUCCUGCACCUCUGGAAGCUCAUUUGUUAGUGCAAUGUCAUGGGUUCUCUUUGGUGCCUCAACUCAGGGUGCUGGUUGGAGGCAGCUGAGUGUUUCCUAGCCCAGACUGAGAGGGCAAACCUGCUCCCUCUGGACUCCAUAUCCCUGUGAGCAGAAUGACAAAACAUUUGUUGCAAAAGUUUGUGAAGAAUUGCUGCAGAGUCACUUGGAGCAGGCUAUUGAUAAGACUUAGAGGCUGUGAAUGGGAACAAAAAAUCUCACAGACACAGUACAAGAAUUAAUCAUUUUGAAUCAUAAUAAUUUGUCAUGGAAAAAAAAAUACCACUGAGAUCAAAAGCAAUUUUACAGGAGUGAUCACUCUGACAGAAGCAGCAUGUGGAGCUGUGCGUAUUAUAGCAGGCACAGCCUACGGGAAAUGUGCACACAGCUAUCAGCAGGGCAUGCACCAAAAAGCAAAACAUUCAGAUGAACUUUUCAGCCAAAUGGUAGACAGUAUUGCAGCCAAUGGCAAGAGGAGUGUUAACCUGACAGAAAAGCAGUAUGUGCUACUUCAAGUUGGACAGUGAUGCCUAAACCAAUGCAAUACGACAAUCUCAGUUAUUCACAGUGACAGAAAAGCCAAAGGAAGAAGACGGAAGUCCAUUCGUGGGUAAAAGUAUGUCCGUUCCACAGCUUCCUCAGGAGAAUGUCUUCACUGGGGAAGCAAAGGAGAAAAACAGCUUAAGAAAAAUCUCAGGACAUUUUCCAUAGCAUAGUGACAAACUGCACCUUUUCCAGUUUGUUAGCUAUUAUAUAUGUCUCCAGAAGGGAAAGAAUCAGUGGUACAUAUUCAUCUUUCACCAUUUACCCUAGGAUGAAAGUCUGUAGAAAAGUAUGUGUACUUUUUAUCCACCUUCAGCAAGGUGGCUGCUGCUGUAUAUUCCCUGCAUCUGUUGCCAGUAUAGAGGUGACAUUUGUAUGGUAUUCUGUUUAAAGGGAAUGGAAGGGUGAUUUACCUUGUGUUGAAUAAAAAUACUGAGAAGAU
rnacentral:lncRNA from 1 species